AAAAGCAUUUCCAGAAGUGAUUUGAAGCCGAAAUAAACACAGCCUAAGAAGAAAGGAAAAACCCUAUCCCGUUUCGGGUGCAUUUUUCUUCUCCCUCACAUGGGAGGAGUAUGUGAGGGUGGACUGAUGAGUCCACCCUCACAUAAACACAAUAUAGAGAGUCAACAAAUGCAAAACUUCAAAGACGAAGAAGGGAAACAGUAGAGAAGAAAGCACUACUUCUGCUUUGUUAUUGCUAUUUUUUUUUUCUUUCUUUUUUUCCUGGAAGAAUUUGAAAAACAAAAUCGCUCAGGUUAGGAUAUUAGAGAUGAGUUUCUUUAAGGAGCCUCCGUACCGCCGGCACUACGACAACAACGAUUGGGAAGCCGGUGGAAAGGAAAGCGAUCAGGAGGAGGAGUCUUUUUCUUCUAGUGAGCGUCUCCAUGAACGGCAAGCAGCACUUGCGCUAAAUGCUUCUCGUCAAAUUCGUUUCACCUGGGGCGUGGAAAGGAAAGAAGAGGAGGAGCAACUGCUCAGGAGACGUAGAGGACAUGUUUUAGCCAGAAUAUUUGCAGAAGUGCCCAAGGUGUUCAGGAAGGAACCACCAAAUGUGUCAGGAACAUUAAAAACAUCUCCAUCUCCACCUCCCAGUGGUGAUUUUGCAAUUGGACAGGACCAGCUUACUGUAUUGUCAAGGGAUCACAAUGUUGUAGCACUGCAGGAUUGUGGAGGGGCAAGUUUGCCUUUAAAUUUUCUUUCAUUCUUUUUUAUCUGAUUUUUGUAUUAUUAGUACUUAUUUAAGUUUGAUUUUAUAUAUUAUUUACUUCUCUACCUCUACAUCAGGUCAAAGGACUAUCAGAUUCGUUAAAAACAAAUUUGGAGAAGGGUAUUAAAGGUGAUAAUGAUGAUUUGUUGAAGAGGAAAUCUGAAUUUGGAUCAAAUACGUAUCCUAGGAAAAAAGGGAGGAGUUUUUGGAUGUUUCUUUGGGAAGCUUGGCAAAACCCGACAUUAAUCAUAUUGAUAGUAGCUGCUGUGACCUCUUUGGCACUGGGUAUAAAGACUCAAGGUAUUAAGGAAGGAUGGUAUGAUGGAGGCAGCAUUGCAUUUGCUGUUAUUCUUGUGAUUGUUGUGAAAGAUGUUGGGAAAACAUGUAAUGUUCUUAUCCUUGC